CCGUGCUGUACUCUUUGGUCACCACGACUAAUGUAAUGCUGUUUUACUUCCGAAAGCCACUGUGGUCUUCUAACAGCCAGGCACUUUGAGUUGCUUUUUUAAUACUGUUGAUUAGCUUUAGAUGAACUGGUCAUAUUCUCCCACUCAAUGUCUGCUCAAAAAUCGUGUUUGUUGUCGUUUGACAACUGGCAAAGAGUAGUAGUCAGCUGUGGCUAUUGCUCUGACUCACAGAGGGAUUUAACCAUGACCUUGGCCUCGUUAUCAUGCUGUUAUAAUCUACUGAGAAAAAUAGCUACACAAAUAAAUCCUGAAACCAACAAGUUAAAAAAAAAUCUGCUAUUUGUGUCUGCAAGUGCAAAUCAGAAUACAUGUUUCCUUUGAGUAAUUCUGUUGGCAGGUGUGUUAGGUAUGAGUAAGUGCGUGCAGGGUAUGCUUCUGGAGACCAAAGCUUAUGUCAGUUUUCUGCCCCCAAACUUCCACUGCACAGUGAUCACAAGACAAGUGCAGCUCUUCAGCAAGGCAUGUAAGCUAGCACAGAAUCUUAGCAUCACCUAUCUCCAUUCUACCUCUUGCUAAAGUUCCGUGCUCCUCAUACUCCAAUAAGCAAUUCUCUCACGUUUUGUAGCUGUUCCCGUAUUUGUUCAGCACUUGAAUAGGCCUGGGGUAAACUGGAAAUAAGAGUGUUCCCCACCGUUAACAGAGUUCAUGGUUCAGUUGAGGAUGGUUCAGUAGACAAGGAAAUGGUUAAGGCACACUGUUGACACACGCUGUGUGAGCAGGAAGUGCACACUGCUAAGAGAGCCUGGGGCAAACAGAUAGGAGGAGGAGGCUGAGAACAUGGCAGACAUGUGACUGAAAAGGCAAGCCAAACUGAGGGGAAACUACGUGGAGGUUGCAGGUGUUAGAGGGCAAGAAGAUUGUCACUGGGCAACAGGGGAUGUGUGGCCAGGCCGAAGCUAAGGAUAGAGAUGCUGCCAGGACCUGGACCAAAAGUUAAUGUAUUGUUCCUUUGCCCCCAUGUCAGAGCGCCUUUUCCCAUUCUCCUCUUCAGUUGAAGCCAAUAAUCAGGAUAAAUCAUGCCAGAGAGCAACUAGCCAGCUAGCGGUCGAGGCAUCCACGAUGAGCCAUGCAUUAUUCUCGGUGCUUGGAUUACUAAAAUUCCUGCUGUCCUCGUGGGAGUACACAAUCAUUGAUAAACAAUAAACUGCAGUAAGAAUACUUUAAUUUACGGUCAGAAUGCAGUGGUGAGAGGGGGAAAAGUGCAGCGGAAAGGAGGAGGGUUGGAGUGAUGGGGUUGAGCGUCUGAAAGAUCGGAUGGAGUGUUCACAGAAGGGAAGAGGGGUGAAACCCGAGAAGGGAGUUAGCUGAGACUCUCAGUGAAGGGGGUGUGGCGCCAGUGGCUAGGUGACCAGGUUAGGGCUCACACGGCACUUGUAGACCAGUCUGAGUAGGGAGCCCUCUCUGUUUUGACCUGUGUGGUGCUGGGUGGUGUUAGGAUGCUUGCUUGUUUUCUGUCCGCGUGGUGCUGGGGAUUGCUGCUGUAGUAAAACACUGCAACCAAGGCAACUUAAGGAAGAGUUUUAUUUGGGCUUAUGGUUCCCGAGAGAGAGAGAGAGAGAGAGAGAGAGAGAGAGAGAGAGAGAGAGAGAGAGAGAGAGAGAGAGAGGGAGAGAGAGAGAGAGAGAGAGAGAGAGAGGGAGAGAGAGAGAGAGAGAGAGAGAGAGAGAGAGAGAGAGAG
ensembl:lncRNA